UCUUUCUUUGUUAUGGCUCUUCCGGUGUAACCUACGUUCUGAGAUGAAUUUGAUCUGUUUAUAUUUUAAUUAGUCUUGUGGAAGAGUAUUAUGUCGCUUCUGGGCGAUGAUUUGUUUUUUCCUCGAUCCUAGAUGAAUCCGGGGCUAUGAAGCUCCAUCCUUGCGAUGAAUAUAGGGUUUCGGAAUUUACUGACCUCUUUAAUACUAUAGGUUUUGAGUGCACAGUAUUUUUUCAUUGAUCUGAUAUAAAUUGUAACGAAUUUUAAAUUUGUAGAAACCUGCCCCUGUUUAUUCGUUUAUUUUUAAGUUGCCACCUGCAAAUUGGGGAUUUCUUCCUACUGUUUCGAGCGUGUAAUUCUAUUCUUCUGGGAAUAAUUGGCAUUGUAUUGAGGAUUAAGAAUCUGAUGUUUGGUUUUUGAGCUUGCAGUGGUAAAAGUGUGCUUCUUUUUGCGCGUGUCCCGUUCUCUUCUCCAGUCCGAUAUUGACAUACAUAUCUAUACUAUAUGGAGGUUAAGCUAUGGAACGACAAGCGCGAAAGGGAGAUGUAUGACAAUUUCGCUGAGCUCUUUGCGAUUAUAAAGGCAACCGAGAAGCUUGAGAAAGCUUAUGUGCGGGACGUGAUAUCUCCAGCGGAGUAUGAGGUUGAAUGCCAAAAGUUGAUCGCCCAUUUCAAAACGCUGUCUUCCACGUUGAAAGACAUUGUGCCUAGCAUUGAGAGGUUUCACGAUACUUACAAGAUGGAUUGUCCUGCAGCCAUAAACCGCCUCGUGACAUCUGGUGUUCCUGCAACCGUUGAGCACAGGGCGGCUGCUGCCACAACACAUUCUACAUCGGCUGCCAUUGUGGCUGAAUGCGUGCAGAAUUUUAUCACUGCUAUGGACUCCUUGAAACUAAACAUGGUUGCUGUUGAUCAGGUCCACCCGCUGUUGUCUGAUCUCUCUGCUUCUCUCAAUAAGCUUUCUAUAUUGCCACAUAAUUUUGAGGGGAAGACAGAGAUGCGGGAUUGGAUUGCCAGGUUAUCGAAAAUGGGUGCAGCAGAUGAGCUUACUGAGCAGCAGGCUCGGCAGCUGCACUUCGACCUGGAAUCAUCUUACAACUCAUUCAUGGCGGCACUGCCAACUGCAGGGACAUAGUUGUUUUGCUGGACAAGGUUGUACAGAAUGGAUACACUUGUAGGCAGGGUAAUGUAUGAAGGUUGUACCUGCUGAAAUUGCUUGAAUGGUCCUAAACCUUUUGAAUU